UGAGGAAUAUCCGNUCAAUGGGCGCGAGCCUGAACCAGCCAAGUAGCGUGCAGGAUGACGGCCCUAUGGGUUGUAAACUGCUUUUGUAUGGGGAUAAAGUCAAUCACGUGUGAUUGUUUGCAGGUACCAUACGAAUAAGGACCGGCUAAUUCCGUGCCAGCAGCCGCGGUAAUACGGAAGGUCCGGGCGUUAUCCGGAUUUAUUGGGUUUAAAGGGAGCGUAGGCCGGAGAUUAAGUGUGUUGUGAAAUGUAGACGCUCAACGUCUGACUUGCAGCGCAUACUGGUUUCCUUGAGUACGCACAACGUUGGCGGAAUUCGUCGUGUAGCGGUGAAAUGCUUAGAUAUGACGAAGAACUCCGAUUGCGAAGGCAGCUGACGGGAGCGCAACUGACGCUUAAGCUCGAAGGUGCGGGUAUCGAACAGGAUUAGAUACCCUGGUAGUCCGCACAGUAAACGAUGGAUGCCCGCUGUUGGUACCUGGUAUCAGCGGCUAAGCGAAAGCAUUAAGCAUCCCACCUGGGGAGUACGCCGGCAACGGUG
rnacentral:rRNA from 1 species